UGAACCUACGAAGCGAGGUGUUGGGCGAUGCAGGCUAACUUGGUAACUAACCUGUUUGUAUAUACAUUGUUGAAAAAUAAUUCUGGCCAAAGAGAGAGGAUUUCUAGAUCUCUGAACCUCACAUCUUCUACACGCAUCUAUUUUUGCAGCAUGCGCGGUUAGGAGUGGUAGACUGAUUCUUCAGACGUAGACCGUUAAACUUGCCGUAUAAAUUAUCGCCUCAAGUGACUAGUGCAGCGGCAAGGAUGAAAUGUCUCGGAAUGAAUGCCAAAGUGGAAUAAUUUAAACGAUCCUUCUUAAAAACUGUGACACAGACACAGCACCGUAGAAACAAGGAAUUUGCAGAUUAUGGUUUACAAACAGGAGAUGGUGGUAGGGGAACGAUUGUCAUUCUGACAGCUCAGGUGGUAAGGCUGGAACCACAGCGGGUGUUUGCAUAGAAAGACACAGGGCACUCGUAAAUGGGCAUUAGGGUAGGGCACUACUAAAUGGGCAUUAGGGUAGGGCACUACUAAAUGGGCAUUAGGGGUAGGGCACUAGUAAAUGGGCAUUAGGGUAGGGCACUAGUAAAUGGGCAGUAGUG